rnacentral:rRNA from 1 species
GAUGAACGCUGGCGGCGUGCCUAAUACAUGCAAGUCGAGCGAACGGAUGAGAAGCUUGCUUCUCUGACGUUAGCGGCGGACGGGUGAGUAACACGUGGAUAACCUACCUAUAAGACUGGGAUAACUUCGGGAAACCGGAGCUAAUACCGGAUAAUAUUUUGAACCGCAUGGUUCAAAAGUGAAAGACGGUCUUGCUGUCACUUAUAGAUGGAUCCGCGCUGCAUUAGCUAGUUGGUAAGGUAACGGCUUACCAAGGCAACGAUGCAUAGCCGACCUGAGAGGGUGAUCGGCCACACUGGAACUGAGACACGGUCCAGACUCCUACGGGAGGCAGCAGUAGGGAAUCUUCCGCAAUGGGCGAAAGCCUGACGGAGCAACGCCGCGUGAGUGAUGAAGGUCUUCGGAUCGUAAAACUCUGUUAUUAGGGAAGAACAUAUGUGUAAGUAACUGUGCACAUCUUGACGGUACCUAAUCAGAAAGCCACGGCUAACUACGUG